UACGCCCUACGGGGCGCAGCAGUGGGGGACAUUGCACAAUGGGGGAAACCCUGAUGCAGCGACGCCGCGUGGGUGAAGAAGCGCCUCGGCGCGUAAAGCCCUGUCAGCAGGGAAGAAAAUGACGGUACCUGAAGAAGAAGCCCCGGCUAACUACGUGCCAGCAGCCGCGGUAAUACGUAGGGGGCAAGCGUUAUCCGGAUUUACUGGGUGUAAAGGGGGCGCAGACGGCGAUGCAAGCCAGGAGUGAAAGCCCGGGGCCCAACCCCGGGACUACUCUUGGAACUGCGUGGCUAGAGUGCAGGAGG
rnacentral:rRNA from 1 species